CAGUAGCCGCGGGAAUACAGAGGUCUCAAGCGUUGUUCGGAUUCAUUGGGCGUAAGGGGUGCGUAGGUGGCUUGGUAAGUUGAAGGUGAAAUCUCGGGGCUUAACUCCGAAACUGCCUUCAAUACUGCUGAGCUCGAGGAUUGUAGAGGAGAAUGGAAUUCACGGUGUAGCAGUGAAAUGCGUAGAUAUCGUGAGGAAGACCAGUGGCGAAGGCGAUUCUCUGGGCAACUCCUGACACUGAGACACGAAGACCAGGGGAGCAAACGGGAUUAGAUACCCCCGUAGUCCCUGUCUCUUAUAC
rnacentral:rRNA from 1 species